CUUUACUGGGAUGACAUCCUUUACCAAUACACAGUCGGCCACCUAAGUUCUGGCCUAACCAGUUUUCUAAUUUCAGAUCAACACUGCAUAAAUAUUCUACCGCUGUGAAGCACAUACUGGAUUCUCUUUUGGUCACAGUGGCGAGGAAUCUGGGACUGGAACCAGCAACGAUCGCUGAGAAAUGUGCCAGCGGGAUACAAUCAUUCAGGAUGAACUACUGUCCCUGUCUCCUGUGCAUGCGGCAGCCGGACAAAGUCGUCAGCUUCUCUCCACACUCUAAUUCUGAUCUGCUCUCUCGUGCUCCAAGUAAAUAAUGUGCAAGGCGUGCAGAUCAAGAGGAAUGACAUCUGGUUUCCUGUCAGUCCAGUCGAGGGCUUGUUCAUUGUCAACAUCGGAGAUAAUUUCGAGGAUGAUGGACACCUUUGGUCAAAAUUGUAGAAAGAAUCGGACCUUGUACAGCAAGAGCCUGUACUUGGUGCUGAAAUCUGUGGUGGGAUGGUGGCUGUGGGUGGUCGUGGUGGCUUCGGUCAUGUUGGUGGUGGUUGUAGAGGGCGUGGGCAAGGUGGAUCGUUGGGUGUUCAAGGUGGUUGUCUUGCUGGUGGAAUCGGUAGUGUUCAUGGUUGUGCGCAGGGGCUCUGCCCAUGGCCGUGAUC